rnacentral:lncRNA from 1 species
UUCUGGUCUGUGCGUCCGUUCGUCCGUCCGUCUGUCUGUUCGUCCGUCUGUCCCGCUUCAGGUUAAAGUUUUUGGUCAAGGUAGUUUUUGAUGAAGUUGAAGUCCAAUCAACUUGAAACUUAGUACACAUGUUCCUUAUGAUAUUAUCUUUCUAAUUUUAAAGCCAAAUUAAACUUUUGACCCCAAUUUCAUGGUCCACUGAACAUAGAAAAUGACAGUGCAUGUUUCAGGUUAAAGUUUUUG